rfam:Dipodomys ordii contig_6126, whole genome shotgun sequence.
UUGGAUGUCGCUCAGUGGCAAAAGCGCUUGCCUAGCAAGUGCAACGUCCUGGGUUCAAUCCCCAGUACCAAAA